rnacentral:misc_RNA from 1 species
GAAAUGCGAUAAGUAGUGUGAAUUGCAGAAUUCAGUGAAUCAUCGAAUCUUUGAACGCACAUUGCGCCCCCUGGCAUUCCGGGGGGCAUGCCUGUCCGAGCGUCAUUUCUGCCCUCAAGCACGGCUUGUGUGUUGGGUGUGGUCCCCCCGGGGACCUGCCCGAAAGGCAGCGGCGACGUCCGUCUGGUCCUCGAGCGUAUGGGGCUCUGUCACUCGCUCGGGAAGGACCUGCGGGGGUUGGUCACCACCAUAUUUCACCACGGUUGACCUCGGAUCAGGUAGGAGGUACCCGCUGAACUUAAGC